rnacentral:rRNA from 1 species
GAUCAUGGCUCAGGACGAACGCUGGCGGCGCGCCUAACACAUGCAAGUCGAACGGAGUUAAGAGGAGCUUGCUUUUCUUGACUUAGUGGCGAACGGGUGAGUAACGCGUGAGUAACCUGCCCUGGAGUGGGGACAACAGUUGGAAACGACUGCUAAUACCGCAUAAGCCCACGGAUUCGCAUGGAUCUGCGGGAAAAGGAUUUAUUCGCUUCAGGAUGGACUCGGCGUCCAAUUUAGCUAGUUGG